rnacentral:rRNA from 1 species
CCUACGGGAGACAGCAGUGAGGAAUAUUGGUCAAUGGACGAGAGUCUGAACCAGCCAAGUAGCGUGAAGGAUGACUGCCCUAUGGGUUGUAAACUUCUUUUAUAUGGGAAUAAAAUGUUCCACGUGUGGGAUUUUGUAUGUACCAUAUGAAUAAGGAUCGGUUAACUCCGUGCCAGCAGCCGCGGUAAUACGGAGGAUCCGAGCGUUAUCCGGAUUUAUUGGGUUUAAAGGGAGCGUAGGUGGAUUGUUAAGUCAGUUGUGAAAGUUUGCGGCUCAACCGUAAAAUUGCAGUUGAAACUGGCAGUCUUGAGUACAGUAGAGGUGGGCGGAAUUCGUGGUGUAGCGGUGAAAUGCUUAGAUAUCACGAAGAACUCCGAUUGCGAAGGCAGUUCACUGGACUGCAACUGACACUGAGGCUCGAAAGUGUGGGUAUCAAACAGGAUUAGAUACCCUAGUAGUC